rnacentral:rRNA from 1 species
AACGAACGCUGGCGGCAGGCCUAACACAUGCAAGUCGAGCGAGGACUUCGGUCCUAGCGGCGGACGGGUGAGUAACGCGUGGGAACGUGCCCUUUGCUUCGGAAUAGCCCUGGGAAACUGGGAGUAAUACCGGAUGAGCCCUUUGGGGGAAAGAUUUAUCGGCGAAGGAUCGGCCCGCGUUGGAUUAGGUAGUUGGUGGGGUAAUGGCCUACCAAGCCGACGAUCCAUAGCUGGUUUGAGAGGAUGAUCAGCCACACUGGGACUGAGACACGGCCCAGACUCCUACGGGAGGCAGCAGUGGGGAAUCUUAGACAAUGGGGGAAACCCUGAUCUAGCCAUGCCGCGUGAGCGAUGAAGGCCUUAGGGUUGUAAAGCUCUUUCAGCUGGGAAGAUAAUGACGGUACCAGCAGAAGAAGCCCCGGAGAACUCCGU